UACAGAGGUGGCAAGCGUUGUUCGGAAUUACUGGGCGUAAAGGGCGCGUAGGCGGCUUUGCAAGUGGCGGGUGAAAUCCCUCGGCUUAACCGAGGAACUGCCUGCCAGACUGUGAGGCUUGAGACCGGGAGAGGUGAGUGGAACUCCGAGUGUAGAGGUGAAAUUCGUAGAUAUUCGGAAGAACACCAGUGGCGAAGGCGGCUCACUGGUCCGGUACUGACGCUGAGGUGCGAAAGCGUGGGGAGCAAACAGGG
rnacentral:rRNA from 1 species